rnacentral:rRNA from 1 species
CCCUUAGAUGUCCUGGGCCGCACGCGCGCUACACUGAGUGUCUGAGAUACGAGUCUGCCUGGUCCGGCAAGGUCUAGGUAAUCGCUAAAAGACACAUCAUGCUUGGGAUAGAUUAUUGCAAAUCUUAAUCUUGAACGAGGAAUUCCUAGUAAGCGCAAGUCAACAGCUUGCGUUGAUUACGUCCCUGCCCUUUGUACACACCGCCCGUCGCUACUACUGAUUGGAUGUUUAAGCGAGGUUCUCGAACUGCUAGCGACUUAGCUUCGGUGAGGUCGCAGUGUGGGAAGUGAACCUAGCUUUGGUGUCUAGAGGAAGUAAAAGUCGUAACA